CGAAAAGCGUUGACGAGGAUAAGUAGUCAGCGGGGCCAACAUCCACAGAGAGCCGGGGAGCUGCGAACCGGUGAUGUUGCCGCUUGAUGAACUCACCUCUGAGCGCCAGCCUGAACGCCGGACGGCUAGUAGGGCUGGACGAGUGGAGACGCGCGCUUCACUCGUUACCAAAAUGAGCGGCCGGCUUCGGCUGGCCGCUCCUGAGGCGGCCGUCAUGGCCGUGAAGAAGGGUGGUACCGCGGAAAGGAAACCUUUUCGCCCCUUUG
rnacentral:ncRNA from 1 species